AGUGAACGCUGGCGGUAGGCCUAACACAUGCAAGUCGAACGGCAGCACAGUAAGAGCUUGCUCUUACGGGUGGCGAGUGGCGGACGGGUGAGGAAUACAUCGGAAUCUACUUUUUCGUGGGGGAUAACGUAGGGAAACUUACGCUAAUACCGCAUACGACCUACGGGUGAAAGCAGGGGAUCUUCGGACCUUGCGCGAUUGAAUGAGCCGAUGUCGGAUUAGCUAGUUGGCGGGGUAAAGGCCCACCAAGGCGACGAUCCGUAGCUGGUCUGAGAGGAUGAUCAGCCACACUGGAACUGAGACACGGUCCAGACUCCUACGGGAGGCAGCAGUGGGGAAUAUUGGACAAUGGGCGCAAGCCUGAUCCAGCCAUGCCGCGUGGGUGAAGAAGGCCUUCGGGUUGUAAAGCCCUUUUGUUGGGAAAGAAAAGCAGCAGGUUGAUACCCCGCUGUUCUGACGGUACCCAAAGAAUAAGCACCGGCUAACUUCGUG
rnacentral:rRNA from 1 species